rnacentral:rRNA from 1 species
CAAUAGCGUAUACUAAUGUUGUUGCAGUUAAAAAGCUCGUAGUUGAACUUCUGGUAGGAGUGUCCCGGCCUUCUUGUUUUUACAAAUUGUAUGCUGUGUGACAUCUCUGGCCAUCCUUCUUCUUUGUUUAAAGAAGAUCUUUCACUGUAAAAAAAUUAGGGUGUUCAAAGCAAAAGUUUCUUUGGAAUAUAUUAGUAUGGGAUGAUAAGAUAGGCUCUAGAUGCUAUUUUGUUGGUUUGCACAUUUAGAGAAUGAUUAACAGGGACAGUUGGGGGUAUUCGUAUUUACAUGUCAGAGGUGAAAUUCUUGGAUUUUGGAAAGACGAACUACUGCGAAAGCAUUUACCAAGGAUGUUUUCAUUAA